UGAACGCUGGCGGCGUGCAUAACACAUUCAAGUCGAACGAAGCACUUUAGUUGGAGACUUCGGUCAAAGACUGAUUUGACUUAGUGGCGGACGGGUGAGUAACGCGUGAGCAACCUACCUGCAAGAGGGGAAUAACAGUCGGAAACAGCUGCUAAUACCGCAUAACAUAGAGAUAUUGCAUGUUAACUCUAUCAAAGAUUUAUCGCUUGCAGAUGGGCUCGCGUCUGAUUAGAUAGUUGGUGAGGUAACGGCCCACCAAGUCGACGAUCGGUAGCCGAUCUGAGAGGAUGACCGGCCACAUUGGAACUGAGAGACGGUCCAAACUCCUACGGGAGGCAGCAGUGGGGAAUAUUGGGCAAUGGGCGAAAGCCUGACCCAGCAACGCCGCGUGAAGGAAGAAGGCCUUCGGGUUGUAAACUUCUUUUACCAGGGACGAAGGACGUGACGGUACCUGGAGAAAAAGCAACGGCUAACUACGUG
rnacentral:rRNA from 1 species